UGCAAACGGAGCGGAUACUAGCAAAAAUCCGUCCUGUUUUCCGUCUUAAAUUCGUGACGGGUUAAAAGAUACAUUUCAUAAUCUGCCCCGUCUCGUAAUCCGCCUCCCGCCGGCGCCCCGAAUCUGCCCCGCCAACUAAUAUUUUUUAUAAAAUUAUAAUAUUAUUAAUAUUUUGUAAAAUAUAAAUUAAUAAUUUAUAAUAAUAUUAUAUACAUAAUUUAACAAUAUUAAUGGUAAAAAUUAAAAAUAUCAAUCAUAAUUCAAAACAAAAUUCAAAUAAAUAUAUUAGAAAUGAGAGUAAUAACUUAUUUGUAUUUUUGAACUUUUUUGUAAAUAUAUUAUUUUUUAGAAAUAUUUUUUUAAAAUAUAAAUGAUAUUCGGGACGAAUUUGGGGCGGAUCAUGGCGGGGCGGAUUCGGGGCGGAUUCGGGUCGGAUCAAAAUUUUUUUCGUUUCCUGCCCCGAAUCCGUCUCAGAUCGUAAAACUUACCCUCCGAAUCCGUUUAUUUUCUCCCAUUUACUGCCCCGUUGGGGCGGAUCGGGGCGGGAGCUCCACCAACCCGGAUCCGUUUGCAUCCCUACCUGUACACUACACUCCUGGGAUGUACAUUCUACAACUAAAAAAUAUCCUUAGAGCAAAUAACAAAAGAUUUGAUGGUUGAUACCCGAGAUUCAAAUUUGAAUCAUAGUUGAUUCACAUUUCUAGUUAAACUUAUUUCUAAAUAAAAUAAACUAAGCGGGUAGCGUGCUACCUAUCUCUCAAAAAAAAAAAAAUGAUUGAGAUUAAAUUGA
rnacentral:lncRNA from 1 species